rnacentral:rRNA from 1 species
CCUACGGGUGGCUGCAGUGGGGAAUAUUGGACAAUGGGGGGAACCCUGAUCCAGCCAUGCCGCGUGUGUGAAGAAGGCCCUCGGGUUGUAAAGCACUUUCAGUGAGGAAGAACGCCUGGUGGUUAAUACCCAUCAGGAAAGACAUCACUCACAGAAGAAGCACCGGCUAACUCCGUGCCAGCAGCCGCGGUAAUACAGGAGGGUGCGAGCGUUAAUCGGAAUUACUGGGCGUAAAGCGCGCGUAGGUGGCUUGAUAAGCCGGUUGUGAAAGCCCCGGGCUCAACCUGGGAACGGCAUCCGGAACUGUCAAGCUAGAGUGCAGGAGAGGAAGGUAGAAUUCCCGGUGUAGCGGUGAAAUGCGUAGAGAUCGGGAGGAAUACCAGUGGCGAAGGCGGCCUUCUGGACUGACACUGACACUGAGGUGCGAAAGCGUGGGUAGCAAACAGGAUUAGAUACCCUUGUAGUC